AGCGCAGCGCUGCGUGGGGCGCUGUGUCCAGUGGGAUCGCGCGUGGGCGGCGCUUCACGCAGCAGGUUUGUGUGCGUCUCUACAGCAGCAGCGGCGCGACAGACUGACGGAGCGGAGAACACUGGAGCUAAUGAGCGCCGAGAGCCGCUGAGAGGGAGAGUCUGCUCGGGGAAACAGCAUUCGCGUCUUUGGACAGAGAUUUAGCCACGCCCACAGCUGAAGAUGUCAGACAAUGGGGAAGUAGAAGACAAGCCGCCAGCUCCACCCAUGAGAAACACCAGCACCAUGAUUGGCUCGUCCGGGAAAGACUCGGGCCCACUGAAUCACGGCUCCAAACCUCUGCCACCCAACCCAGAGGACAAGAGGAGAAAAGAAGGCUUCAUCCGAUCCAUUCUCACCGGAGGAGGAGACAAGACCAAUAAGAAGAAGGAGCGUCCAGAGAUCUCUCUGCCGUCAGACUUUGAGCACACUAUCCAUGUUGGCUUUGACGCCGUCACUGGAGAGUUCACUGGCAUGCCUGAGCAGUGGGCACGGUUACUCCAGACAUCCAACAUCACCAAACUCGAGCAGAAGAAGAAUCCUCAGGUCGUUCUGGAUGUCCUUAAAUUCUACGACUCUAAAGAAACAACCAACAGCCAGAAAUACAUGAGCUUUACAGAUAAAGGUGUCGAUAACUACAGCUCUUCCAACGCAGUGAACUCCAAGACCGUUUCGGAGACCCCCGCCGUGGCCCCCGUCUCAGAAGAUGAGGAUGAAGAUGAGGAUGAGGAUGAGGAUGAAGCCACGCCUCCACCCAUCAUCGCACCCCGUCCCGAACACACUAAAUCUAUCUACACGCGCUCCGUUAUUGACCCUCUUCCUCGUCCGCUCUCCACUAAAGAUGCCGCUACGUCCCCAAUCGCUAACACGGCCGCUGAGGACGACAGUCUCACCCCUCCACCCUCCACCACCUCCGCCACAGCCAGCACCACCAACACCAACACCCCUCCACCCUCCACGCCACAAAACACCGACAAAACACGCAAGAAGAAGAUGACCGACGACGAGAUUCUCGAGAAACUGCGAAGUAUAGUCAGCGUGGGUGACCCGAAGAAGAAGUACACCCGAUUUGAGAAGAUUGGCCAGGGGGCGUCUGGAACGGUCUACACAGCUAUAGACAUCGCCACAGGACAAGAGGUGGCCAUCAAACAGAUGAACCUACAGCAGCAGCCCAAGAAAGAGCUGAUCAUCAACGAGAUCUUAGUGAUGAGGGAAAACAAGAACCCCAACAUCGUCAAUUACCUGGACAGUUACCUGGUGGGAGACGAGCUGUGGGUGGUGAUGGAGUAUCUGGCUGGAGGCUCCCUGACAGACGUGGUGACGGAGACAUGUAUGGAUGAAGCACAGAUCGCCGCCGUCUGUCGGGAAUGUCUCCAAGCGCUGGAGUUUCUGCACUCGAAUCAAGUCAUUCACAGAGACAUCAAGAGCGACAAUAUUCUGCUGGGGAUGGAUGGCUCCGUCAAACUUACUGAUUUCGGCUUCUGCGCUCAGAUCACUCCUGAACAGAGCAAGCGGAGCACCAUGGUUGGGACGCCAUACUGGAUGGCCCCGGAGGUGGUGACCCGCAAGGCCUACGGCCCCAAAGUGGACAUCUGGUCCCUGGGCAUCAUGGCUAUCGAGAUGAUCGAGGGCGAGCCACCGUACCUCAACGAAAACCCUUUGAGGGCUCUGUAUCUAAUCGCCACCAAUGGAACGCCGGAGCUGCAGAGCCCGGAGAAACUCUCGUCCGUGUUUCGGGAUUUCUUAAACCGCUGUCUGGAGAUGGACGUGGAGAAGAGAGGCUCUGCCAAGGAGCUUUUGCAGCAUCAGUUCCUAAAAGUGGCCAAGCCUCUGUCCAGCCUCACACCGCUGAUCAUCGCAGCGAAAGAGGCAACCAGAAACAACCGCUAGCCCCUCCAGGACGACCCCUGACCCCUGACCCCCAACCCCAGAGCGCUCUCUCUCUCUCUCUCUCUCUCUCUCUCUCGUGUGCCGCCCCUCGCCCUCUAGUGAUGCUGUUUUAGGGUCCGAGGGGCAUCUGCGCUCACGUUGUGGCUCCUGAAAAGGCUCUGAAUGACGACAUCACUGGAAACAAAUGACCACUGCUCGUCAGGCCCAAAGCAUUGUGGGGGAUUUCCCCUCUGCUGACUCUCUCUGGGUGUCACUGUCAGUUUUUCUGUUGCUUUUUUUGUCGUUUGCUUUCGUGUUGGAAUCAUGGGAACAUGAUUGAUGUUUUCAUGUCUGUUUUUUGUUCAUUUUACAAGGUUAUUUGUUUGUUUUUGUGUGUGUGAGAGAGUGUGUGUGUGUGUGUGUGUUCACCGGGUCAUAGGUUAGCUGUGAUUGUGACAUGAUGACACGUUUGUACAGCGAUCAACAGAAAGAUCUCGUUUUUUGAUAUUGGAACAUGAUUUGCAACAGACUAUUGAUUAAGGUACUAUGAAGGAUGCCUGUGCAUGAAGAGACUGUAUUUCAGAUGAAGAAACGACUACCUGAGGUCCGUUCUGUCCCAUAAUCCCUCCUCACGGCAGAAACCCAGCGUGACUUCAGUGCGCCGCUGUGUUUUGUGUUAACACAAACAUUCAUGGAAUUGAAGUUUUCUGAUAUUACGUUCACGUACCCUUUGGCCUUAAACUGUGACGUGAAUAGUAGGACGUAACGAAGACGACACAACACACCAAGAUGCAGUCUGAUGCGUUCUUUCAGUGGCCUGACGGGAUUCGUUUAGAAGAGAAUCUUCCCUGUUAGCAAUCAUGGAGUUUCUGCGAGCCAUAAACUCUUUAUAAGGCCUUUUGAUGAAUUGAAAUUCUUAAUUGAAAUGGGACGAAUAAACUUCAGAAUUAA